rnacentral:rRNA from 1 species
GACGAACGCUGGCGGCGUGCUUAACACAUGCAAGUCGUACGGUAAGGCCCUUUCGGGGGUACACGAGUGGCGAACGGGGGAGUAACACGUGAGUAACCUGCCCACAACUUUGGGAUAACGCUAGGAAACUGGUGCUAAUACUGGAUAUGUGCUCCUGCUGCAGGGUGGGGGUUGGAAAGCUCCGGCGGUUGUGGAUGGACUCGCGGCCUAUCAGCUUGUUGGUGGGGUAGUGGCCUACCAAGGCGGCGACGGGUAGCCGGCCUGAGAGGGUGACCGGCCACAUUGGGACUGAGAUACGGCCCAGACUCCUACGGGAGGCAGCAGUGGGGAAUAUUGCACAAUGGGCGCAAGCCUGAUGCAGCAACGCCGCGUGCGGGAUGACGGCCUUCGGGUUGUAAACCGCUUUCAGCAGGGACGAAGCUUUUUGUGACGGUACCUGCAGAAGAAGCACCGGCUAACUACGUG